ACAUGACCCGAUCAAUUCGAUCAGGCACUCGCCAUCUAUUUUCAUUGUUCAACUCUUUGACAACAUGAAAAAACCAAAAGCUCUGCCCUCCCUCUCUAUCUAU
rnacentral:rRNA from 1 species